UACAGAGGGGGCAAGCGUUAUUCGGAAUUAUUGGGCGUAAAGGGCGCGUAGGCGGCUUGGCAAGUGGAAGGUGAAAUCCCUCGGCUUAACCGGGGAACUGCGUCUGAUACUGGAUGGCUUGAGUUCGGGAGAGGGAUGCGGAAUUCCAGGUGUAGCGGUGAAAUGCGUAGAUAUCUGGAGGAACACCGGUGGCGAAGGCGGCAUCCUGGACCGACACUGACGCUGAGGAGCGAAAGCCAGGGGAGCAAACGGG
rnacentral:rRNA from 1 species